rnacentral:tRNA from 1 species
GAGGGUAUAGCUCAGUGGUAGAGGUCAUGCUUAGCAUGCACGAGGUCCGGGGUUCAAUCCCUAGUACCUCCG